rnacentral:piRNA from 1 species
UCUCCGGGAGGCCAUAUCCAAGUGCAGAGC